GACGAACGCUGGCGGCGUGCUUAACACAUGCAAGUCGAACGGUAAGGCCCCUUCGGGGGUCCACGAGUGGCGAACGGGUGAGUAACACGUGAGCAACCUGCCCUUGACUCUGGAAUAACAGUUGGAAACAGCUGCUAAUACUGGAUAUUCAUCGUCUCCUUCCUGGGGGGUGGUGGAAAGCUCCGGCGGUCAGGGAUGGGCUCGCGGCCUAUCAGCUUGUUGGUGAGGUAAUGGCUCACCAAGGCUUCGACGGGUAGCCGGCCUGAGAGGGCGACCGGCCACACUGGGACUGAGAUACGGCCCAGACUCCUACGGGAGGCAGCAGUGGGGAAUAUUGCACAAUGGGCGCAAGCCUGAUGCAGCAACGCCGCGUGCGGGAUGACGGCCUUCGGGUUGUAAACCGCUUUCAGUAGGGACGAAGGGUGACUGACGGUACCUACAGAAGAAGGACCGGCUAACUACGUG
rnacentral:rRNA from 1 species